UAGGGGGGAAGCGCUCGAAACAAUUGGCUAGGUUAUAAUUGAGAGUUUGCAUGAAGUGAUAAAUUUUCCUGUCUCUAGCGGAAAUGUGUGGUGUACUAAAAUGUUGCUGUAACUGUGCGGGAACUAUUGCGUGCUGUUGCUGUAGCUGUGCACUACAAACCUUGUGCUGCAUCAUAGUGGUGGCUCUGGUCAUUGCUUUGGCGAUCACUCUUGGAGUUUACUUCGGAGUUUUCCACAAUAAUGACGAUUCUUCUGAUACGACGACAGUAUCACCUGCCAGCCGGCUGUUAUCGAGUCUUUAUCCAAAGCAGGAAGAGGAUUUUCUGAGUCACUAGCUGCUGUCAUCGAUGUUCGUUGUAUCAAGUGGUUUAUAUAUAAUGUGUAAUCAAUUAAUUACUUAAAUUCUCAACCAGUUAUUCUAUAUAA